rnacentral:lncRNA from 12 species
GGCUUUUCUCCAAAGAACGGCCUCUUUUCUUCCAUCUGAUUACAGCGUCCUUCACAAAAGGUCAGCCUCGUGCUCAUCCAGAAUCAAGAUGUGCAGGUCCCCCUCGGUUCUUCUCUUGCAGGCCAAGGCAGGCAGUUCCAACAGCCUGGGGUUGGAGACCCCAUUUUGGAAGACACUUGUUUGAUAAGCAUCUCAAGUGUGACUGCCUUUGACCUCUUCAAGGACAGUGUUGCUUCAGGACGCCAGCAGGAGCCACUGGAGUGGGGAGCCAGAGACAGCACUCCUGGCAGUGUGCGAUGUGAUUGAUACCCUCAGACUCUCUGGGGAAUCUUCAGUAAAAUCUCA